rnacentral:rRNA from 1 species
UACGUAGGGCGCCAGCGUUGUCCGGAAUUAUUGGGCGUAAAGAGCUCGUAGGCGGCCAGUUGCGUCUGCUGUGAAAUCCCGGGGCUCAACCCCGGGCGUGCAGUGGAUACGGGCUGGCUAGAGGCAGGCAGGGGAGAACGGAAUUCCCGGUGUAGCGGUGAAAUGCGCAGAUAUCGGGAGGAACACCGGUGGCGAAGGCGGUUCUCUGGGCCUGUACUGACGCUGAGGAGCGAAAGCGUGGGGAGCGAACAGG